CGGGUUGCCGAGUUGGCCCCGAUUGAAGUCCAACUCUUUCGUUUAUAAAGGUAAUAUCAUG
rnacentral:sRNA from 12 species